UCAGGAGAGAAUUCAUGUUAAUUUCUUUAACAUUGUUAUGUAUUAGGCAGAAGCAGUGUUCAUAAUAUUUUUCUGGAUUUUAGGUAUGUUUUGGAGAUCUUACAGUAUUUUAAGUAUGCUGUGUAAUGCCACAUUAUUAUGGAAAAAAAUAGCCGCAUGCCAUUGAAAGCUUUCUCUGCUGUCACCAAUGAAGUUUAAUCCCUCUUAAAUUUCUCACCUUGACUUCCUUGUAAUCAGUAACUGGAUGUUUUUGAGGUGCUCAAUUGGAAUUAAAAAUAUUCCAAUCUAUUUGGAGACCAAAGGCACGUUUAGAUCCGUUACCUUUGGAAUUAUUGUAGCUUUGACAUCUAUGACAUGGAACAUACCAAAAAAUAAAUCCCCACGCAGGGGUUUAACUUAAAUGUGUAGAGAAGGUCUCAGGCUAUAGUGUUUGCCUCUUCAGGUGCCACUGAUACUGCCUAAUACAGCGCCAUUUGCUCUGUGAAGAUCAAUAACAAUUAUGUUGAAUGUCAGACAUGUUCUCCUGUGUUACACAGAUCUCAGAUGAUGAAGAAUGACAUGAAAACCAGCAGCCAAGGAACAGCUUGUGUUGUCGUAGCAAGUCCACAAUAAGUGUCCUUCAGGGAUAACAUGUAGCAGUCGGUAUUUUACAAGUAAAACUCACAUUAGCCUCUAGUGCUUUUAAAGUUAGCGUGUGAUCUGCAAGAAACGGGGUUUUAGAGUCUCAGUGGUUACUUGUAAAGCAACCGCUGGAAAGGAGCAAGGAGAUCUGUUUUUUUUUUUUUUUCCCUGAGCAUUGUGUACCACAGUUUACUUCAUGACAGAGAUAAUCCAAAAAAACGGAAAUCAUAUAUAUGUUUUAUAUAGUUUGUCUAUGAAGUAUUUCUUUGAAGAUUCUAAUUGUAAUGUUUUUUUUUAAGUGCAUACUCAGAGCAUUGGAUUUUUUUAAAACUUGUUUUCAAUUAGAUAAUCUUUUUUUUAAUGUCUUAAAGAGCUAGGGUGGAUCUUGUUGUAUACUUUUGUUGCAGUCUUCUCAAAAAAGUGAACUCACUCAGCCGGGCUAGAGCAGUAGCUACUAGAAGCAACCCUCACACAGCAGCAGCUCCUGUGGCUCAAAUGCUUGAAAUUUGGAUAAUCCAGAUGGUGAGUUGCCAAGCUGUCAUGGGAUACCAUACAGUGCUUUAAGUUGCCUGGGUUGGCUUUUACUUCAACUUUUGUUUGUUUUAUUUUUGGACUCUUGUUGCCUGAGAUGACCCUGACUCCUGCUUCCCCUGCCUUUGCCUAUAAGUACCAGCGUUACAGGCUUGCCCCUCCACGCUCACGGACCUUGUUCCAGUUCUCAUUGUACAACUGUGUGGAACCAUCCCGACUCAGAGGGGCUCGAGCUAGCUUGUAAUUCUGAUACCAUGACAGCGUUGUUAGGUCACACAGCCUGGUCCUUUGUCCACUUUUGGUAGCCUUAUUAGGAUGAGCACAACAUGGGGUGUCCAGAAGAGUGAAUGUCACCGAAGUCUAAACAUGGGGGGCUUUAAAAAUCCAUGAAAUCAUUAUUUCAGUUUGAAGAACUUAAGUGGUAGAUAUCAGUGUCCCCCUUCCUCCAAGGCCCUUCCUUCGUAUUUCUCAGUUCACAUGCUCUUCUGUCCAAUCUGCCCGUCUGAUAGGGACCCCUGCGGCUGAUGCACAGCUCGCUCUCCUUCUUUACUGUGACUUCCAACAUUCCUAAGGAGAUCCACACAUCUGGGUAAAGAAGACAGACCUUUACUAUAAUAUAAAAUGAAGAGUGCUUUCUGCCCCUCACAUCCCCUAUAACUUUGUUUCUCCCUAAUUGCACCUGGGUUUUUAUGCUGUCCACUUUAGAAAAUAAAGGACUAGUUCUGAUCAGCUAUGCUAACCUUUCUGAAUGUACCCCAGUGGAUGUGAAUUAAAUUAUACCAAUCACUCACAGUGUAGUCAGCUUUAAAAGAGCUGAUGAGCUUUGCCCAUUCAUGUGAGUGUUGCUAUUGUUGCGGUUUUUGUACAUGGCUGCAAAUUAUGUGCAUUUAUGUUCUGUUUAUGUUAACUAGCUGACUUGUACUUGAAUUAAAAUUCAAAAAAUUAAAAUGUGCUUUUAAAAAUGUGUAUCUUAAGAUUUUAUAAUGGUGAUAUCAUUGUACCAGCAUUAGGCUGUGUGUAGAACAGACUGCAUUGUUCUGAGUUACGCAAAAAAACUUUCUGCCUGUUAAACCUGAUAAUAUCUGGGUAUAAAAAGGUCAGAUAGUGUAAUUCCUUCAUACCUUGAAUCUGUUGGUGUGUGGUCUUACAAAUCUGUUGAUCUUUGAAUUCAAUGCUUUUCAUCUGUCAAAACAUCCAAUUUGUACAGCACUGAACAGUGAGUCUGGUUAGAGUAUUAAAUUGAUGUACUCUAUCUAGGUAGUGACAUUUUCACACUAACUUUUUUGUCCUAAUAAUAGAUUUCAAGAAAGUUAAUAUUUUUUUAAACCAGAGAGCUUAUAGAGUGACCAGGUGAAUCCAUACAUAGUAGGGGAUAUGGAUUAAAAACGAUGGUAGUGGACAGGCAAGGUGGCUAAGCAGAUGAGGUGCUUGCUGCCAAGUCUGACCACCUGAGUGGGGUUCACAUGGUGGGAGGAAAAACCAACUCCUCCAAUUAUCCUUUGAGUUUCCUUGCAGACUGUGACACUUGACCUCUCACAUAAAAACACAUUAAAUAGUAGUUGUUUAACUGAAUUGUGCUCUUGUUUCCACCUACUUCUUUCAGUUGUCAUGUUUUAAGUUUCCAAGUUUACAUGUUCUUAUAGGCACAGAAGCCAGAUGAGAUCUGUCCUGUUGUUCUCAUGCCAGCUUUUGUUGUACAAAUUUUGUUCCUUAAUAUAAAACUAUUGGUUGAAUAAAGAUGCCUGUAGCUAAGCAGAAGAGGUAGGUGGGGCUUUGGUUUCACAGGCUUUUGGGGGUCUGAGGAGAGGCCAAGAGAGAGAAGGAAGAAGUCACCAUGGAAUAGAUAGAUCAUGAGCACAUGGCCACGAAGACUGGCCAAUUGGAAUCUGAGCAGCCCAGAAGGAACAAGGAAAGUGAUAUCUUGGGAUUAUUGACAGAGAUGUAGACAAAAGAACAGAGAGGGUGGAUAUCUGCCCAGCUCUAGUGCUUUUAGGUUUUUCUUUUUUUUUUUUUAAGAUUUAUUUAUUAUUAUAUAUAAAUACACUGUAGCUGCCUUCAGACACACCAGAAGAUGUUGUGAGGUCUUUGGAUGCUUGUGAGCCACCAUGUGGUUACUGAGAUUUGAACUCAGGACCCUUGGAAAAGCAGUCAGUGCUCUUAACCGCUGAGCCAUCUCUCCAGCCCCAUGCUUUUAGGUUUUACUAUAAGUAUAAAGGCUUUGUGAAUUUUAUUUGGGAACUAAUGACCUAAGGUGUGGUAGAAACCCCUGAAUAUUUACCACACCUUACUGUCACAUUUGUAUAACUCGUAAAACUUAAGGCAUAUUCAUUAUACAGAUUUUUUUUCAAUCUUUGUUAGAUUUUUCCCCUUCAAGAUACUUUUUAAACUAUUAUGAAUAAAAUUGUUUCCUUUU
rnacentral:lncRNA from 1 species